rnacentral:sRNA from 2 species
UUUAACAUCAAACUCAGAUGUUGAGCGUGAAGGAUAACGUUGCGUCAGCAACGGCCCGAAGGGCGAGGCGAAGCCGAGUCAUCCUGCACGACCCACCA